UACAGAGGUCUCAAGCGUUUGUUCGGAUUCAUUGGGCGUAAAGGGUGCGUAGGCGGCGCGGUAAGUCGGGUGUGAAAUCUCGGGGCUUAACUCCGAAACUGCAUUCGAUACUGCCGUGCUUGAGGACUGGAGAGGAGACUGGAAUUUACGGUGUAGCGGUGAAAUGCGUAGAUAUCAGGAAGAACACCCGUGGCUAAGGCGGUUCUCUAGUACGGUACUGACGGCUGGAGACGCGAAAGCGUGGGGAGCGAACAGG
rnacentral:rRNA from 1 species